rnacentral:rRNA from 1 species
AUGGGGUGCAGCAGGCGCGAAAACUUGGCAAUGCGAGAAAUCGUGACCAGGGAACUCCAAGUGCAUCGGGUAAGACCGAUGCUUUUCUUGACUCUUCAAAGGUCUUGGAAUAAGGGGUGGGUAAGGACGGUGCCAGCCGCCGCGGUAAUACCGGCGCCUCAAGUGGUAGUCGCUUUUAUUGGGCCUAAAACGUCCGUAGCCGGUUUGGUACAUUCGUGGGUAAAUCAAGGCGCUCAACGUCUUGAAUUCUGCGAGCACGGCCAGACUUGGGACCGGGUGAGGUGUGGGGUACUCUCAGGGUAGGGGUAAAAUCCUGUCAUCCUGAGAGGACCACCUGUUGCGAAGGCGCCACACUAGAACGGAUCCGACGGUCAGGGACGAAGCCUAGGGGCACGAACCGGAUUAGAUACCCGGGUAGUCCUAGGUGUAAACGCUGUGGACUUGAUGUUGGGAGUGCUCCGAGCNCCCUCAGUGUCGAAGCGAAGGUGAUAAGUCCACUGCCUGGGGAGUACGGUCGCAAGGCUGAAACUUAAAGGAAUUGGCGGGGGAGCAC